UGGAAAAGGGGAGCACGUGCAAAACGGAAGAGAAGAGAAAUUACACUUUUGCACGUGCCCUGCUUCUCCAAC
rfam:Gossypium raimondii chromosome 4, whole genome shotgun sequence.